GACGGUAUAGCUCGAUCGUAGAGCACGUGCUUGGUGUGCACGAGGUCCUGGGUUCAACCCCCAGUACCUCUG
rnacentral:tRNA from 1 species